AACGAACGCUGGCGGCGCGCCUAAUACAUGCAAGUCGAGCGAGAAGGUGUAGCAAUACACUUGUAAAGCGGCGAACGGGUGAGGAAUGCAUGGGUAACCUACCCUCGAGUGGGGAAUAACUAGCCGAAAGGUUAGCUAAUACCGCAUACGUUUCCGGAACUUCGGUUUCGGAAAGAAAGCAAUACCGUGGGUAUUGCGCUCCUGGAUGGGCUCAUGUCCUAUCAGCUUGUUGGUGAGGUAACGGCUCACCAAGGCUUCGACGGGUAGCUGGUCUGAGAGGACGAUCAGCCACACUGGCACUGCGGCACGGGCCAGACUCCUACGGGAGGCAGCAGUAAGGAAUAUUGCGCAAUGGACGAAAGUCUGACGCAGCGACGCCGCGUGGGGGAUGAAGGUCUUCGGAUUGU
rnacentral:rRNA from 1 species